rnacentral:rRNA from 1 species
AAUGAACGUUGGCGGCGUGGAUUAGGCAUGCAAGUCGUGCGAUGAAGCAGUGCUUGCACUGUGAAUUAGCGGCGAAAGGGAGAGUAACGCGUGGAUACGUACCCUCAGGCCUGGGAUAGCGUCGGGAAACUGGCGGUAAUACCGGAUAAUGUCCCUGGACCAAAGGUGUGAUUCCGCCUGAGGAGCGGUCCGCGUCCUAUUAGGUAGUUGGUGGGGUAAUGGCCUACCAAGCCAAAGAUGGGUACCGGGUGUGAGAGCAUGGCCCGGCUCACUGGGACUGAGACACUGCCCAGACACCUACGGGUGGCUGCAGUCGAGAAUCUUCCGCAAUGGACGCAAGUCUGACGGAGCGACGCCGCGUGCGGGAUGAAGGCCUUCGGGUUGUAAACCGCUGUCAGAGAGGCGGAAAUGCAUGGUGGCUAUCCAUCAUGUUUGACCUAAUCUCAGAGGAAGCGCAGGCUAAGUUCGUGCCAGCCGCCGCCGUAACAC